rnacentral:rRNA from 1 species
AUUGAACGCUGGCGGCAGGCCUAACACAUGCAAGUCGAACGGUAACAGGAAGCAGCUUGCUGCUUUGCUGACGAGUGGCGGACGGGUGAGUAAUGUCUGGGAAACUGCCUGGUGGAGGGGGAUAACUACUGGAAACGGUAGCUAAUACCGCAUAACGUCGCAAGACCAAAGAGGGGGACCUUCGGGCCUCUUGCCAUCGGAUGUGCCCAGAUGGGAUUAGCUUGUUGGUGGGGUAACGGCUCACCAAGGCGACGAUCCCUAGCUGGUCUGAGAGGAUGACCAGCCACACUGGAACUGAGACACGGUCCAGACUCCUACGGGAGGCAGCAGUGGGGAAUAUUGCACAAUGGGCGCAAGCCUGAUGCAGCCAUGCCGCGUGUAUGAAGAAGGCCUUCGGGUUGUAAAAUACUUUCAGCGGGGAGGAAGGGAGUAAAGUUAAUACCUUUACUCAUUGACGUUACCCGCAGAAGAAGCACCGGCUAACUCCGUG